rnacentral:rRNA from 1 species
GACGAACGCUGGCGGCGUGCUUAACACAUGCAAGUCGAACGGAAAGGCCCUGCUUUUGUGGGGUGCUCGAGUGGCGAACGGGUGAGUAACACGUGAGUAACCUGCCCAUGACUUUGGGAUAACUUCAGGAAACUGGGGCUAAUACCGGAUAGGAGCUCCUGCUGCAUGGUGGGGGUUGGAAAGUUUCGGCGGUUGGGGAUGGACUCGCGGCUUAUCAGCUUGUUGGUGGGGUAGUGGCUUACCAAGGCUUUGACGGGUAGCCGGCCUGAGAGGGUGACCGGCCACAUUGGGACUGAGAUACGGCCCAAACUCCUACGGGAGGCAGCAGUGGGGAAUAUUGCACAAUGGGCGGAAGCCUGAUGCAGCAACGCCGCGUGCGGGAUGACGGCCUUCGGGUUGUAAACCGCUUUCGCCUGUGACGAAGCGUGAGUGACGGUAAUGGGUAAAGAAGCACCGGCUAACUACGUG